UACGUAGGGGGCGAGCGUUGUCCGGAUUUAUUGGGCGUAAAGAGCGUGUAGGCGGCCAGGUAGGUCUGCUGUGAAAACUCGAGGCUCAACCUCGAGACGUCGGCGGAAACCAUCUGGCUAGAGUCCGGAAGAGGAGAGUGGAAUUCCUGGUGUAGCGGUGAAAUGCGCAGAUAUCAGGAAGAACACCUAUGGCGAAGGCAGCUCGCUGGGACGUUACUGACGCUGAGACGCGAAAGCGUGGGGAGCAAACAGG
rnacentral:rRNA from 1 species